UACAGAGGGUGCAAGCGUUGCUCGGAAUUAUUGGGCGUAAAGGGUAGGUAGGUGGUCUCAUUUGUCAGGGGUGAAAUCUUCAGGCUCAACCUGGAAACUGCCAUUGAUACUAUUUAUCUUGAAUACUGUGGAGGUGAGCGGAAUGUGUCAUGUAGCGGUGAAAUGCAUAGAGAUGACACAGAACACCGAUUGCGAAGGCAGCUCACUACGCAGUGAUUGACGCUGAGGCACGAAAGCGUGGGGAUCAAACAGG
rnacentral:rRNA from 1 species